rnacentral:rRNA from 1 species
UACGGGGGGGGCAAGCGUUGUUCGGAAUUACUGGGCGUAAAGGGCUCGUAGGUGGCCAACUAAGUCGGAUGUGAAAUCCCCAGGCUCAACUUGGGAACUGCAUCCGAUACUGGAUGGCUUGAAUCCGGGAGAGGGAUGCAGAAUUCCAGGUGUAGCGGUGAAAUGCGUAGAUAUCUGGAGGAAUACCGGUGGCGAAGGCGGCAUCCUGGACCGGCAUUGACGCUGAUGAGCGAAAGCUAGGGGAGCAAACGGG